UCAAGCCUGAAACCAUAAGAGUACACUGAAAAGCCUUCCUCCUUUCCAUCGCAGCCAACAUGAGGAUGCUGGAAUUCAUGUGUCUGUUGAGGAUCCUGGCUCCUGUCCUGAAUGAUACUGCAUAUUCAGGGGAUGAUUCAUUCACUCGGAGCAGGAGGAAGGACUGUACCAGCUGUACCACCUCUCCGCUCUGAUUGACGGCAGUGAUGCUCCCACAGGGAAGCUGUGCCUCCAGGUUCAGCCAGCAAUUACAGAACAAACAAAGGAGAAGUGGAAUGGAGAAAUGAUUCACGGGAAUAGAAACCAAAAGAGAACCCGGAGAUGAUGCCAAGCCGAGCUGAAGGCAAAACUUUCAUUCGUUUCUGCUGAAAAUGUGCAGACAGCAUGGUGCAUCUCUUUGGUAACUAAGACAGACACAGCAAGGAAUGUUAAACGCACCUCCUCCUGGAGAAUUCUGCCAGCAAGGUCAGUGGAAUCGGGACUUCACCUUCGUUAUGUUUCUUUUGACUGUGGAACUGGUCUGAUUUUCCUUCCAGAUAACUUUUUUUUUUUUUUUUUUUUUUUUUUAAUGGGACCGUGGAACAAAAUAAAAUAAAAUAUACAGAAAGAGACAUACAAAUAAA